UACGUAGGGGGCAAGCGUUGUCCGGAAUCAUUGGGCGUAAAGCGCGUGUAGGCGGCUAGGUAAGUCUGCUCUGAAAGCCCGGGGCUCAACCCCGGGAGGCGGGUGGAUACUGUCUAGCUCGAGUCCGGAAGAGGAGUGUGGAAUUCCUGGUGUAGCGGUGAAAUGCGCAGAUAUCAGGAGGAAUACCGAUGGCGAAGGCAGGUCUCUGGGCUGACACUGACGCUCAUGCACGAAAGCGUGGGGAGCAAACAGG
rnacentral:rRNA from 1 species